GACGAACGCUGGCGGCGUGCCUAAUACAUGCAAGUUGAGCGCUGAAGGUUGGUACUUGUACCAACUGGAUGAGCAGCGAACGGGUGAGUAACGCGUGGGGAAUCUGCCUUUGAGCGGGGGACAACAUUUGGAAACGAAUGCUAAUACCGCAUAAAAACUUUAAACACAAGUUUUAAGUUUGAAAGAUGCAAUUGCAUCACUCAAAGAUGAUCCCGCGUUGUAUUAGCUAGUUGGUGAGGUAAAGGCUCACCAAGGCGAUGAUACAUAGCCGACCUGAGAGGGUGGUCGGCCACAUUGGGACUGGGACACGGCCCAAACUCCUACGGGAGGCAGCAGUAGGGAAUCUUCGGAAAUGGACGGAAGGCUGAACGAGCAACGCCGCGUGAGUGAAGGAGGUUUUCGGAUCGUAAAACUCUGUUGGUAGAGAAGAACGUUGGUGAGAGUGGAAAGCUCAUCAAGUGACGGUAACUACCCAGAAAGGGACGGCUAACUACGUG
rnacentral:rRNA from 1 species